rnacentral:rRNA from 1 species
UACGUAGGGUGCGAGCGUUAAUCGGAAUUACUGGGCGUAAAGCGUGCGCAGGCGGUUUUGUAAGCCAGAUGUGAAAUCCCCGGGCUCAACCUGGGAAUGGCAUUUGGGACUGCAAGGCUGGAGUUUGGCAGAGGAGACUGGAAUUCCUGGUGUAGCAGUGAAAUGCGUAGAUAUCGAGAGGAACACCGGUGGCGAAGGCGGCCAACUGGACGAAUACUGACGCUGAGACACGAAAGCGUGGGGAGCAAACAGG